rnacentral:rRNA from 1 species
UACGGAGGUGGCAAGCGUUGCUCGGAAUCACUGGGCGUAAAGGGCGCGUAGGCGGGGAGGUAAGUCGGGUGUGAAAUCCCUCGGCCCAACCGAGGAACUGCGCCCGAGACUGCUUCUCUUGAGUCCCGGAGGGGAAGAUGGAAUUCCCGGUGUAGCGGUGAAAUGCGUAGAGAUGCGGAGGAACACCGAUGGCGAAGGCAGCCCCCUGGGCCAACACUGACGCUCAGGCACGAAAGCUAGGGGAGCGAACAGG